CUACGGGGGGUGCAAGCGUUACUCGGAAUCACUGGGCGUAAAGCGCGCGCAGGCGGCUUGAUAAGUUGGAUGUGAAAGCCUACGGCUCAACCGUAGAACUGCAUCCAAAACUGUCAGGCUAGAGUGUGGGAGAGGAAGAUGGAAUUAGUUGUGUAGGGGUAAAAUCCGUAGAGAUAACUAGGAAUACCAAAAGCGAAGGCAAUCUUCUGGAACACUACUGACGCUGAGGCGCGAAGGCGUGGGGAGCAAACAGGAUUAGAAACCCCGGUAGUCC
rnacentral:rRNA from 1 species